GAUGAACGCUGGCGGCGUGCUUAACACAUGCAAGUCGAGCGAAGCAUUUUCACGGAAGUUUUCGGAUGGAAGAGGAAAUGACUGAGCGGCGGACGGGUGAGUAACGCGUGGGGAACCUGCCUCAUACAGGGGAAUAACAGCUGGAAACGGCUGCUAAUGCCGCAUAAGCGCACAGCACCGCAUGGUGCAGUGUGAAAAACUCCGGUGGUAUGAGAUGGCCCCGCGUCUGAUUAGGCAGUUGGCGGGGUAACGGCCCACCAAACCGACGAUCAGUAGCCGACCUGAGAGGGUGACCGGCCACAUUGGGACUGAGACACGGCCCAA
rnacentral:rRNA from 1 species